rnacentral:pre_miRNA from 1 species
GCUUUGCCCAGAAGAUCUCACUAAUUUGUUUUAGAUUUCGUUAUUGAGAUAUUCUGAGCAAGCAU